rnacentral:snRNA from 1 species
GUGCUCACUUAGACAGCACAUAUACUAAAAUUGGAACAACACAGAGAAGAUUAGUGUGGCCCUGUGAGAAGAUAAUACACAAAUUCAUGAAGCAUUCCAUAUAUAU